rnacentral:rRNA from 1 species
CCGGCAGACCAGAUACCUAGUCUUACAACGGAAAGCACUACUCGGUCCCUGUCUUGCAAUGGCACUGGUCUCAAGUGGGGGGAGGACGGAGAGGGGUCUAGGCUAACGCAAUCCCGGACGCCGCCGACAGCUUCGGGCCGCUUAAGCACUAUCUUCUACGACCGGAACUCGAGAACGACCUAAACCAGCUAGCCAAUGGGGUGACCUCCUCAAGCGGCUGUCAAAACUUUCGGGUCUAGACCGGGGAGACCGUAACAAUUACGGUCUGGUUUGGUUGGGACGGUAAGUCCGCCUGAGCUUACGACGAGACCUACGUCCGUUAUUCAACCGCAGCCGCCCGGCCCCUCCGGCGUGACACCUCUCGCCACCGCAGCCCUCCGUAGAGGCUGACAGGCGCGUCGGUUCCAGUUGGGUUUCCGCGGACCAACCUGUUUCUACCCUUCGGCCUCCGCCUCUUAUCAUCUAGAACGUCUACGCUCACGGGACGUAACUAUUCCGAGAACGGCUGUCGACUAUUGUCAACCAUGUACUGUCUCGUGACACUCCCCGUGUUGGUAAGGUACAGAGAUUGCUACCCUCUCCCGCUAUAUAUAGCUGCAGAUAAUAAUUUCUAAACGAUUUCGUUAAUUCCCUUUUGUUACAGUUGGAGACUUUCCACGUGUUGUAGUAUCUGUUGAAGCAGCCGGCUACUACUGCGCUCCUUCUGAGACCUCCAGAAGCGUCGUAACAGCGGCCCCUGGAAAUGAAGUGUAUGACUCAAAACCGUCUGUCACUAUCGUCCCACUUCUUGAAACAAACUACACCUGAUUACCUUCUCGUCUUACGUCAUGGCCAAGAAGCCCCUACACUAUUAGAAGCUUUGUUGUAUAUCCUGGUUGGAGAUACUGUACUGCAAACCCGAUAACCACUUGUUAGUAAAAAUUUCGUAAUAGGACCGACCCCAUGACUAUACGAUGAAAUAUUUAUGUUAAACUCCUGCUACCCCUUGUGUCUUCCGCCACUGUGGGCUCGUUCAUAUCUCCAAGUCAAGGGCUUGUGCAGCUCGAACCCCAGCUGUCGCUCGUGAACCUCGUGCUUGAACUGCGGCCUCGUUCCUCCGGUACCGCAGCUGCUCCCGGUCUCUACUAUGGGAACUUCCUAAGUCGUUCGUACUGGGUCGACGGCAGCCCAACCGGUCGAUUCUACCACAUUCUGAGACUACACCUGUUGCCCAGUGCGCACUACAUACACCGGCCUCUCCAACUAAGGCCACCUCAUCUCCCUCAACUCGUUUCAUGACACAAAUGAGACGAGGGCAACACGUUCUACCCGUGUGGUAGAAGUUGUCAAACAACAUCACACACACGCCACACGAACUCCAGCGUCUGUUUUUCUUUUGAGCAGCUCACACUAAUGCAGUACUAAAUAUACUUCCCUUUGAGAUCAAACACGAACAUUUUGGGUCACCGACU